rnacentral:rRNA from 1 species
GAUGAACGCUAGCGGGCAGGCCUAAUACAUGCAAGUCGGACGGUAAAUGGCCCUUCGGGGCUAUGGAGAGUGGCGCACGGGUGCGUAACGCGUAUGCAACCUACCAAUGCUGGCGGAUAGCCCGGAGAAAUUCGGAUUAAGCCGUCAUGAGGAGCGGAGAGGGCAUCCUUUCUGUUUCAAAUAUUCAUAGGCGUUGGAUGGGGAUGCGUGACAUUAGAUAGUAGGCGGGGUAACGGCCCACCUAGUCUACGAUGUCUAGGGGUUCUGAGAGGAAGGUCCCCCACACUGGAACUGAGACACGGUCCAGACUCCUACGGGAGGCAGCAGUGAGGAAUAUUGGUCAAUGGUCGGAAGACUGAACCAGCCAAGUAGCGUGAAGGAUGAAGGUUCUAUGGAUUGUAAACUUCUUUUAUACGGGAAUAAAACACCUUACGUGUAGGGUCUUGUAUGUACCGUAUGAAUAAGCAUCGGCUAACUCCGUG